AUUGAACGCUGGCGGCAGGCCUAACACAUGCAAGUCGAACGAGUGGCGGACGGGUGAGUAAUGUCUGGGAAACUGCCUGAUGGAGGGGGAUAACUACUGGAAACGGUAGCUAAUACCGCAUACCAUCAGAUGUGCCCAGAUGGGAUUCGCUUGUUGGUGGGGUAACGGCUCACCAAGGCUACAAUCCCUAGCUGGUCUGAGAGGAUGACCAGCCAAACUGUAAGUGAGACACGGUCCAGACUCCUAAGGGAGGCAGCAUGGGGGAAGAUUGCACAAUGGGCGCAAGCCUGAUGCAGCCAUGCCGCGUGGAUGAAGAAGGACUUCGGGUUGUAAAGUACUUUCAGCGGGGAGGCGUUACCCGCAGAAGAAGCACCGGCUAACUCCGUGCCAGCAGCCGCGGUAAUAC
rnacentral:rRNA from 1 species